rnacentral:lncRNA from 1 species
GGAGGGGGGGAGGGGGGGAAACGCUUUAUAGAGGCAUCCUCCUCUCCUUACCUGUGUCAGCGCGUGGUCUGCUCCAGCACUGGCUGUGAGAAGGAAGGAUGCUCCGAGGAGGAAGGAUGCUCGUGGGGAUCCAGCAGGAGCAGCCCGCGGGUACCAGCCCGGCGUCAGCGCUGCAGCCUCCGCCACACGCACCGAGCGCUGGGAGAGUCCAUUGCGACAGCCUGAGAAGGUCAGGCCCGGCCCUCCAUCAGGAUACGGCACAGAGCCCUCCGACGGCUUUUUGGGGCGGUGGGGGGACACAAAGCAACGCUUUCCCACGUGCCGUGAGCUGAGCCAGCCUCAGCCCCGGGAGCUCAGCCCCAGAGCCAUCAGCAGAGCCCUACAGGACCCCGACGUCCUUCAAGCAGAGGAUGAGGAAGGAUGUGGGCGCACACGAGGCUGAAGUCUGCCACGGGCACAGCGAGGGUUGGAGAGAGUCCCCAGACUGGCACUGGAGCAGCACAGACUCUCAGAUCACAGAGCAAGGGUUGGAGGCACAGAACUGAGGCUGGCACGCAGUGGGAGCAGCAUAGGGAAGGAUGGAGCUGGAAAAGAACUGAGCUCCCAUUGGAAAUAACCCCCAAACGAUGCACUGUGGAUCUGUAACCCAACUGAAGGAGCUCGAGCAUAGCCAAGGCGAGCUGCAGAGCUCCAUCUUCCACUCAUCCCAGCCAGGCUCCCUCAAAUCCCCAACAUGCAGACAGUGGGGAGGGGGCUCUGAUCCCAUCCAUCCCUUCCCACCCAGCCUGGACCACGGCUGUUCCCUAUCCUGGAGGGAGAAGACAUCUAUAUAUUUAUUUAUUUAGUUAUUUUGCCAGGAACAGCACUAAAAUAGAACUCCAUGCACACACGCACGCAUCACAUCAGCUUAACCAGAGAGGCAGGGCUGAGGUGGCUGUGAAAAUC